rnacentral:lncRNA from 1 species
AUUUCCUGGAAACUUCUUAAAGUGAUAAGAGUGGCUCAAGAGCUGUGGAAAGUGACUGGUUCAGCGUCCUCCAAGAAGGAGAGUGAGGGUUCUGUACGUGUGCGAACCCAGGCCCUCCCUCCCUGGCUCUGAGUCACACAGGGCGGCCCCUGUGCGCGCUCCCGAGAGUCUUCAUGCCUCCUGCAGGGGGUGCCGAGAGUGCAUGGAGUCCCGUGUGCAGGGCGCCUGGCUCAGUUCCUGGCACCGAGGCCGCCCUCACACAGCAGUCCUCGUCCUACAUGUCCUCACCUUGCACUUGAGGAAAAUGGGGCUGCACACCACCCGUGACCAGCCCCUGGCCAGGCUUCCAGAGUAGCUUCUGCUGCAACCGCCAGCCACAGCAGGGCGAUGGGAAGGUACGUGGAGAAGGGUCAUCUGUGAGCUGUGUGGAACUUCUGCAGGACUGGGGAAGGCAUACCCCCUCCUCCAGGCUGCCCACGGGGAGUCGGCCGAGAGGAACAGCACAGAAGCCAAGAGGUCUUCAGUCAGAAGGCUCUGGGCCAAGGUGUUUCCAGGCUCGUGCACGCCGGGGGCACCUCGCUGUGCUGUGCCCCCAACCACCACACAUGCGCACACACACACACUCACACUCUCAGUGUUAGACCGUGUCGGAGAAGAGGCUGCGCUGAGGCCCAGAUGGCACCCAUGGUUCUCCAGCCUUGCGAGCGUGGAGUCCGAAUGGAAUAGCCUCCUCACUAUAGUCAUCAUGAUACUAACAUUUGUUGCAGGCACGUGCUUAACAGAUUGCAGCUGACUGCAGAGUCUGAGCCAAGCACAUCUGGAUCUCACUGAGGGCGUGGCAGAGAGCAGGGGCUUUGGAACUGGGUUCGCGCCCCAGCUGGGCCCCUCGCUAGCUGGGAGGGAGGCGGGGACUAGGCCCCGUGCUCGUCUGGGCUGGAGUUUCCUCUUCUGUAAAGUAGGGGUGGCAGCACCCACCACGCGGCAUUGCCUGAAAAGCCCCAGCCGGGCCCUCGGAGGACAGACAGCGAGUCGUGGCCAUUAUAACUGCUGUCAUUAUUUCGUUCUAGGGGCUGAUUGGAGGCCCUCUCUGGAGUUCGUCUUUGUUUCUCAAACUCCUUGCCAGAAAGCAUCCACUGACGUUAGCAGGAUGUCCGAGGAGCUCUGGCUGCGUUUCACCCUCAGCCCCAGGACUCGGCGUGAAUGACUCAGCUCCGACCGGGAAUCUCCCCUCGUUCAGUGCACACGUGAAUCUUCAGGGAAAUUCACAGAAAACUCGGGGAGAGUGCUGUGAGGUCAUUCGUGCUCUGCCUGGCACAUGGAUUUGGAUCAUGCUAUACACCAUAUUAUAACUUGGGAUUUUCUUUCACUUAAUAGAUUGUGAACACUUUUCCAUAGCAGUACAUAUGCGGACACCAUCACUUUCAGUAGCUUUAUGAUAUUUCUUAUAGUCCCUUAUUGUUAAAUAUUUUACUUAUUUAAUAAUUAGCUCCCUAUUGUUGGACAUUUGUUUCCAAUUUUUCACUAUAAUGAGCAGCACUGCCC